GAUGAACGCUGGCGGCGUGCCUAAUACAUGCAAGUCGAGCGAACAGACGAGGAGCUUGCUCCUCUGACGUUAGCGGCGGACGGGUGAGUAACACGUGGAUAACCUACCUAUAAGACUGGGAUAACUUCGGGAAACCGGAGCUAAUACCGGAUAAUAUAUUGAACCGCAUGGUUCAAUAGUGAAAGACGGUUUUGCUGUCACUUAUAGAUGGAUCCGCGCCGCAUUAGCUAGUUGGUAAGGUAACGGCUUACCAAGGCAACGAUGCGUAGCCGACCUGAGAGGGUGAUCGGCAACACUGGAACUGAGACACGGUCCAGAUUCCUACGGGAGGCAGCAGUAGGGAAUCUUCCGCAAUGGGCGAAAGCCUGACGGAGCAACGCCGCGUGAGUGAUGAAGGUCUUCGGAUCGUAAAACUCUGUUAUUAGGGAAGAACAAAUGUGUAAGUAACUAUGCACGUCUUGACGGUACCUAAUCAGAAAGCCACGGCUAACUACGUG
rnacentral:rRNA from 1 species